AUGCGGGGAGAAGCAUGGCUCGAGGGGAGACCAUCUAACUCAAAUAGCGAGAGGGAGAUCAAGCUCUGGGAAAGACUCUGGAAAGUCGAGGUGCCAUCAAAAGUUAAGAUCUUCUUAUGGAGACUUGCACACCAAUCAAUUCCUACGGCCGAUGUGCGCCAUCAUCGGAACAUGUCUACUAGUUCGACAUGUGGACUGUGCGGCGCUGAGCAUUCGUGGCAACAUUCGCUGCUUCACUGCACGGUAGCUUUGUGUGUCUGGGCUAUCGAGGACGCUGAGCUUGUUGAAGCACUGAACAACACCUCAGAACCUGAUUCUAAAAGAUGGUUGUUUGCCUUGAUAGAUAUGCUGUAGGCUACAGAGUUCAUUCAGGUAGCCGUUACCCUCUGGGCACUUUGGUUCUCAAGGAGACAAGCAUUAUAUGAGGAAAUAUUCCAAUGUCCACUUGCUACACAUCACUUCAUCAAAAGGUACAUAAGGGAAAUGGAAGAUUGCAAGCCGAAGAGGUCUUCAGCACCUAAUGGACAGAAUCAACAACAACCAUCUCUAGGAUGGAUCCCACCUCCGCUCGGAUCUGUGAAGAUAAGAGUAGAUGGUGCAGUUUCAAGGAACCAAAACGAAGGAUCAUUCAGCACGGUCUGUAGGGAUGCCUCGGGUCUUUACUUGGGUUCUUCCGCAAUAAGAGUCAGAGACGUCACUGAUCCACCAACCUUGGAAGCAUUGGCAUGUCGAGAAGCGCUUGCUCUGGCCACGGACCUUUGUCUAUCACAUGUAAUCAUCGCCUCAGAUUGCCAAGGUGUUGUCAAGGAUAUUCACAAACAGGAGGGAGGGUUGUAUGCAAGCAUAGUAAGGAAAUUUGUAGACACUGCAAGAACAAUCAACGACUGCACCUUCAUCUUCGAGGGUAGAGCUACAAAUAUUGAUGCACAUAGCCUCGCUAAGCACGCAAUCAGUCUGGACUUCGGGUGCCAUGUGUGGCUUAUAAACCCGCCAGAUCUUCGAUGUAUCCCCAUGAAUAUCUCUGAGUUCUAA
rnacentral:rRNA from 1 species